UACGUAGGGGGCAAGCGUUGUCCGGAUUUAUUGGGCGUAAAGAGUGUGUAGGCGGUGUUCUAAGUUCGGUGUGAAAUCUCCCGGCUUAACUGGGAGGGUGCGCCGGAAACUGGAGUGCUCGAGCGUGGGAGAGGAAAGCGGAAUUCCUGGUGUAGCGGUGAAAUGCGCAGAUAUCGGGAGGAACACCGGUGGCGAAGGCGGUUCUCUGGGCCUGUACUGACGCUGAGGAGCGAAAGCGUGGGGAGCGAACAGG
rnacentral:rRNA from 1 species